GGGAUGGCUUUCCUUUGCCAACCCACUCCUUCCCAGUUGUGCCUCUGUGGACACCGACUUCUGUAGCCCUGUGAUGAACAACUCCAGCAGCCAGGCUUGAUCUGUUUUACCUCUGUGUGAGAUCUCCCUGCUUUCCUCCAGCUAUCAGGUUCACGAAGAGGCUCCUCCCCUCGCACAUCUUCCUCCGGUCCGUUCUGUUUCCAUGGGACUUGGGCUGGAUUCAGGAUGAGCACGGAUGAGGAGGGAAAAGCCACAGGAGCAGUAAAAAUACCUGGCACUUGACUUCUUCAGACACAGUCUGGAAGAUGUUGUCUUUUCCAUCAGCACCCAUGAUCUUAGAAAUAAUGGCUCCUAGCUUACUGAUAUUUCUAAAGUCAUUCAGAAUUGGGAGGAGAAAUCAAAAUUUUCUCAUCUCUAAGCAGCUUGACUCAUCAUAACCCCAACCCCUAAAAGGAGUUCGUUCUUGAUUUUGGAAACCAUCUGCAGCUCUGGGCCCAGUUCUCCUCAUUCAGUAAUACCAAGUAGAAGUGUGUCCACUGAUCUUAAACCUCUGUCUUCCGUGCCCAUUAAACUAUAAACCACAAAAGGAUUCACAGACUUCUCUUCAUUCCCAGAAAUAAGAAAUCCCACUGAGAUCUGGGGUUCAAGGGCACCUCUUGAUUAAAUUUGUCAUUCAAUUGGCUUCCUAUGAAGCUCAAGACGGAAGAAGUUUUUUUUCUAUCUGCAAGUAAAGAAAUCAAUAUUUUCAUAA